GACGAAGGGGGCUAGCGUUGUUCGGAAUUACUGGGCGUAAAGCGCGUGUAGGCGGUUGCCCAAGUCGGGUGUGAAAGCCUUGAGCUCAACUCAAGAAAUGCACUCGGUACUGGGUGACUAGAGGACCGGAGAGGAUAGUGGAAUUCCCAGCGUAGUGGUGAAAUACGUAGAGAUUGGGAAGAACACCAGUGGCGAAGGCGGCUAUCUGGACGGUUUCUGACGCUAAGACGCGAAAGCGUGGGGAGCAAACAGG
rnacentral:rRNA from 1 species